rnacentral:misc_RNA from 1 species
GGAAGGGUCAUUCACAAUAAGUGUUUUAUGGCACUUUUUAAAUCCAUAUCCACCUUAUGUGCAAUGUCAGUCGGUUUUCUUUUUCGUCAAGAAAAAAAGGAUCGACCAAACAUCAACUUAUUCUAAUUGAACUUUUGUCUGAAAACUAUUAUGAAUAAACUAAUUCAAAAUACAACUUUCAACAACGGAUCUCUUGGCUCUCGCAUCGAUGAAGAACGCAGCGAAAUGCGAUACGUAAUGUGAAUUGCAGAAUUCAGUGAAUCAUCGAAUCUUUGAACGCAUAUUGCGCUCUUUGGUAUUCCGAAGAGCAUGCUUGUUUGAGUAUCAGUAAACACCUCAAAACUCUUGAUCUUUUUCAAGCGUUUUGGACUUGAGCAAACCCAACGCCUUUUCUUUUAAGAUCUGUUGCGGCGGGUUGCUUGAAAUGCAGGUGCAGCUGGACAAUCUCCUGAGCUAAAAGCAUAUUUAUUUAGCCCCGUCAAACGGAUUAUUACUUUUUGCUGCAGCUAACAUAAAGGGAGUUUGACCAUUAUGGCUGACUGAUGCAGGAUUUCACAGAGAAAAGGCCGGCAACGGUUUUGUCUCUGUCAAACUCGAUCUCAAAUCAAGUAAGACUACCCGCUGAACUUAAGCAUAUUAAUAAGCGGAGGAAAAGAAACUAACAAGGAUUCCCCUAGUAACGGCGAGUGAAGCGGGAUGAGCUCAAAUUUAAAAUCUGGCUGGUUUACUAGUCCGAAUUGUAGUUUAUAGAAGCGUUUUCGGUGGCAGCCUGGGUAUAAAUCCUUUGGAAUAGGGUAUCAUAGAGGGUGAGAAUCCCGUCUUUGACUCAGUGCAUGCUACUAUGUGAUACGUUUUCAAAGAGUCGAGUUGUUUGGGAAUGCAGCUCAAAAUGGGUGGUAAAUUUCAUCUAAAGCUAAAUAUUGGUGAGAGACCGAUAGCGAACAAGUACCGUGAGGAAAAGAUGAAAAGAACUUUGAAAAGAGAGUUAAACAGUGCGUGAAAUUGUUUUCGCAGCGUGUGCUCCCGGGCAAGGCUGAUUGGGUGCUAUGGGAUCGUUCGGCGUACAAUGCAUGCAUUUUGCGUCGUGUCUUUUUCAUACUCGCGCAACUCGGCUCUUCCACGCUUAGGAGUUGACUUCAUGGUUUUAAACGACCCGUCUUGAAACACGGACUAAGGAGUCUAACAUAUAUGCAAGUGUUUGGGUGGCAAACCCAUGCGCGUAAUGAAAGUGAACGUAGGUGCGAUCCGCAAGGUGCAGCAUCGACCGAUCUUGAUAUUUUUGGAUAGAUUUGAGUAAGAGCAUAUAUGCUGGGACCCGAAAGAUGGUGAACUAUGCCUGAAUAGGGUGAAGCCAGAGGAAACUCUGGUGGAGGCUCGUAGCGAUUCUGACGUGCAAAUCGAACGUCAAAUUUGGGUAUAGGGGCGGAAGACUAAUCGAACCAUCUAGUAGCUGGUUCCUGC